rnacentral:rRNA from 1 species
UAGCGAGAGCAAGGUGAGAAUCCUUGCGGCCGAAUAUCCAAGGUUUCCAGAGUAAAGCUGAUCUGCUCUGGGUAAGUCGGGGCCUAAGGAGAGGCAGAGAUGCGUAUCCGAUGGACAGCAGGUUUAAGAUUCCUGCACCCCUUGUUAUCAGAACUGCGGGGUCACGGGAAGGGAAGCAGAGCCGGGAAUGGAAAGCCCGGUGCAAGCGAAGUAGUCGCAGGGUUGGAAAAUCCGCCCUGCAUGAGACGAAGGCGUGAUGCGGAGCGAAAUGAAGUAGUGAAGCUGCGGCCCCUUCCUGUCGAGAAAAGCCGCUAUCGUGUAGCAAGGGCCCGUACCGUAAACCGACACAGGUGGAUGAGGAGAGGAUCCUAAGGCCGGCGGGAGAAGUGUUGUUAAGGAACUCGGCAAAAUGACUCCGUAACUUCGGGAGAAGGAGUGCUGCGCAAGCAGCCGCAGAGAAAUGGCCCAAGCAACUGUUUAGCAAAAACACAGGUCUAUGCGAAACCGAAAGGUGAGGUAUAUGGGCUGACGCCUGCCCGGUGCCGGAAGGUUAAGGGGAGAGCUUAGCGCAAGCGAAGGUUUGAACUUAAGCCCCAGUAAACGGCGGCCGUAACAAUAACGGUCCUAAGGUAGCGAAAUUCCUUGUCGGGUAAGUUCCGACCCGCACGAAAGGCGUAAUGAUUUGGGCACUGUCUCAACAACACACCCGGUGAAAUUGAAAUACCAGUGAAGAUGCUGGUUACCCGCGCCAGGACGGAAAGACCCCAUGGAGCUUUACUCCAGCCUGAUACUGGGAUUCGGUAUUGCAUGUACAGGAUAGGUGGGAGGCUAAGAACUUAUGGCGCCAGCCGUGAGGGAGCCGAUGUUGGGAUACCACCCCUGCAGUACUGGGUUUCUAACCUGCGCCCGUGACCCGGGCGGGGGACAAUGUCAGGCGGGGAGUUUGACUGGGGCGGUCGCCUCCGAAAGGGUAUCGGAGGCGCUCAAAGGUCUCCUCAGGAUGGUUGGAAACCAUCCAGAGAGUGCAAAGGCAGAAGGAGGCUUGACUGCGACACCGACGGGUGGAGCAGGUACGAAAGUAGGACUUAGUGAUCCGGUGGCAUAAAGUGGGAUUGCCAUCGCUCAACGGAUAAAAGCUACCCUGGGAUAACAGGCUUAUCACUCCCAAGAGUUCACAUCGACGGAGUGGUUUGGCACCUCGAUGUCGGCUCAUCGCAUCCUGGAGCUGGAGCAGGUUCCAAGGGUUGGGCUGUUCGCCCAUUAAAGCGGUACGCGAGCUGGGUUCAGAACGUCGUGAGACAGUUCGGUCCCUAUCCGGCGCGGGCGCAGGAUAUCUGAGAGGAGCUGUCCUUAGUACGAGAGGACCGGGAUGGACCGUCCGCUGGUGGACCGGUUGUCAUGCCAAUGGCACGGCCGGGUAGCCAAGACGGGAAGGGAUAAACGCUGAAGGCAUCUAAGCGUGAGGCCCCCCUCAAGAUGAGAUAUCCAUACUCGAAAGAGUGAGAGACCCCUUAGAGACGAUGAGGUAGAUAGGGCAGAGAUGGAAGCACAGCGAUGUGUGGAGUUGACUGUUACUAAUCGGUCGAUAGCUU